rnacentral:tRNA from 1 species
GCCUCCGUAGCUCAAAUGGACAGAGCUGCGAGCUUCUACCUCGCGCGAUGUGGGUUCAAGUCCCGCCGGGGGGCA